GGCGAACGCUGGCGGCGUGCUUAACACAUGCAAGUCGAACGGAAAGGCCCUGCUUUUGUGGGGUGCUCGAGUGGCGAACGGGUGAGUAACACGUGAGUAACCUGCCCUUGACUUUGGGAUAACUUCAGGAAACUGGGGCUAAUACCGGAUAGGAGCUCCUGCUGCAUGGUGGGGGUUGGAAAGUUUCGGCGGUUGGGGAUGGACUCGCGGCUUAUCAGCUUGUUGGUGGGGUAGUGGCUUACCAAGGCUUUGACGGGUAGCCGGCCUGAGAGGGUGACCGGCCACAUUGGGACUGAGAUACGGCCCAGACUCCUACGGGAGGCAGCAGUGGGGAAUAUUGCACAAUGGGCGGAAGCCUGAUGCAGCAACGCCACGUGCGGGAUGACGGCCUUCGGGUUGUAAACCGCUUUCGCCUGUGACGAAGCGUGAGUGACGGUAAUGGGUAAAGAAGCACCGGCUAACUACGUG
rnacentral:rRNA from 1 species